rnacentral:tRNA from 1 species
GCGGAAGUGGCUCAGUGGUAGAGCAUCGCCUUGCCAAGACGAGGGUCGCGGGUUCGAACCCCGUCUUCCGCUCCA